CCUACGGGGGGCAGCAGUAGGGAAUCUUUCACAAUGGGCGAAAGCCUGAUGGAGCAACGCCGCGUGCAGGAUGAAGGCCUUCGGGUUGUAAACUGCUUUUAUAAGCGAGAAAUAUGAUGGUAACUUAUGAAUAAGGAUCGGCUAACUACGUGCCAGCAGCCGCGGUCAUACGUAGGAUCCGAGCAUUAUCCGGAGUGACUGGGUGUAAAGAGUUGCGUAGGUGGCAUAAUAAGUAGCUAGUGGAAUCUGGUGGCUCAACCAUUCAGACUAUUAGCUAAACUGGUAAGCUCGAGACCGUUAGAGGUAACUGGAAUUUCUAGUGUAGGAGUGAAAUCCGUAGAUAUUAGAAAGAACACCAAUAGCGUAGGCAGGUUGCUGGGACGGUUCUGACACUAAGGCACGAAAGCGUAGGGAGCAAACGGGAUUAGAUACCCGUGUAGUC
rnacentral:rRNA from 1 species